GGACGCGGACGGCCGCGUGCCCUUGCGUAUCGAGCGGCGGGGACGACCUCG
rnacentral:ncRNA from 1 species